GCUCAGGUAGUGUAAUCGGUAGCACAAAUGUCCGAAAAACGAGAAAUAUGGGUUCGAUUCCCGUCUGGUGUG